CCUACGGGUGGCUGCAGUAGGGAAUUUUCCACAAUGGGCGAAAGCCUGAUGGAGCAACGCCGCGUGGGUGAAGAAGGUCUUCUGAUCGUAAAACCCUGUUGUUAGAGAAGAAAGUGCGUGAGAGUAACUGUUCACGUUUCGACGGUAUCUAACCAGAAAGCCACGGCUAACUACGUGCCAGCCGCCGCGGUAAUACGUAGGUGGCAGGCGUUAUCCGGUUUUAUUGGGCGUAAAGGGAACGCAGGCGGUCUUUUAAGUCUGAUGUGAAAGCCUUCGGCUUAACCGGGGUAGUGCAGUGGAAACUGGGGGACUUGAGUGCAGAAGAGGAGGGUGGAACUCCAGGUGUAGCGGUGAAAUGCGUAGAUAUAUGGAAGAACACCAGUGGCGAAAGCGGCUCUCUGGGCUGUAACUGACGCUGAGGUUCGAAAGCGUGGGUAGCAAACAGGAUUAGAUACCCGAGUAGUC
rnacentral:rRNA from 1 species